AUGCUAAAUAAUUCGGUUGGAAAUUGUCUUUUCUAAUAGUAAAAAAUAAAUGGACAAGAUUAUUGUUUUCAAUCCAGAUACGGCCAGAAUUUUUGUUUAAGUCAAACAUCAGAGUUAGAUUUUUUUCUCAAAUAUCUCAGACUGCCUCCUCAAAUCUAAGUACCUUAGACUUUAAAUCAAUCUAGAGCUUUAAAUACUGACCGGGGAUCAUUGUUCAGCUAUGUUAUUUUGAAAU
rnacentral:lncRNA from 1 species